rnacentral:piRNA from 1 species
UGCGGAUAUGGGACUGAGACCAG